rnacentral:rRNA from 1 species
UGGGGAAUAUUGCACAAUGGGCGCAAGCCUGAUGCAGCCAUGCCGCGUGUAUGAAGAAGGCCUUCGGGUUGUAAAGUACUUUCAGCGGGGAGGAAGGCGAUAAGGUUAAUAACCUUGUCGAUUGACGUUACCCGCAGAAGAAGCACCGGCUAACUCCGUGCCAGCAGCCGCGGUAAUACGGAGGGUGCAAGCGUUAAUCGGAAUUACUGGGCGUAAAGCGCACGCAGGCGGUCUGUCAAGUCGGAUGUGAAAUCCCCGGGCUCAACCUGGGAACUGCAUUCGAAACUGGCAGGCUAGAGUCUUGUAGAGGGGGGUAGAAUUCCAGGUGUAGCGGUGAAAUGCGUAGAGAUCCGGAGGAAUACCGGUGGCGAAGGCGGCCCCCUGGACAAAGACUGACGCUCAGGUGCGAAAGCGUGGGGAGCAAACA